CGCUGCUAAGCAGAGAGCGCACUGAACAGAGACCGCCGUUGCACUUGGCCAAAUCAAUUCAUUAAAUAAUUAUACAUUUACUGACACGUCGCGACCCACCACAGGUCCGCGAGCCAUACUUUAAGAACGGCUACCAUAGAAUAUCUAAUCAGGGGACUAUUUCAGACAAAUUGUCAGGGGCGCUGUGGUUCUGUUUCAUGACGAACAAGGGUUGGUAGCUAAUGAGGGAUUACUGUAUUGUUUGACAAGGACUGAGACUAAAAAAACCAAAAGUAUUUGGUAAAUCAAAGGAAAUAGUUGUGGAAUGUUCCAGAUCUUGGCGUACGCCUACUGGAGUUUUGGACAAUUUACCAGCAUGUUUAUAUAUUCCAUUCUGAUAGAGAUCACCCUUCCUGUCAGAAAGAUAUACAAAUACACCCAGAGCCAAAAAUCUGACAGUUUACUGACGCAAGUGAACGAAAGUUUACAGUAUUGUGUCAUUGGAUAGAAUAAGUAGCUAAGCGUUAUGUCCGGUCGAUUUUGUAUUUAUACCCGAGUAAGAUUGAUAUAAAGGCAUUAGUCUUGACGUAGCCUCGUCGCGAACCACGCGAUUUGGAAGAUCAGCCCUCAAUCUUUUUAUUUGCAAGAGGGGUGGGUUCAUAAACUUUGCCGAAGUACUAGAAACCCAAGGGACUUAAAAUUGUCCUAAUCACUCCUGUGCAUCCCUUAGAGAAUUGUGCCUUCAGCACAGUGGAUGGCUCCCAGCAUCGGAUCAACUUUAAGGAUUAUGAGGUCGUCCUGGGUGCUACACACUUAAAGAGAAAUUCAAAGAGUUUGAGCGGAAUGGGGAACCCAAUGAACAGCUUCUGAAGUCACUUGAGGUACGGCCAGCAGACCAGAGGUCAAGCUCACCCUGCUGCAUAAAGGGCCAUCCUUCUGGGAAGGGCCUAGUAGAGGGAAAGGCGGCAGAUACCAGGCUGGGCCUCAGCUGGGGAGAGCAGAUGCUGGGGGCAAAGUACAAAGGGGUAAUGGUGGUCUUAGUACCGUCAAAGCCUACCUCCCUUAUCAAGCCUGCGGCAACAAGCCGAACAGCCACCGGAAGAACCGAAGAAGUCCAAAAGAAAGUCCGACCCUGACGGAGGCUUGGGGAUGGCUGGAGAGCCGAGGAAGAGUGAACCAAUCAGGCCGCGAAAAAGGAAACCGCAAGGACACUGACAAAAGGGAUGGUAAUUCCCUAAAUGUUUGUCACCGUUGCCAUGGAUCCCUCCACUCCUGGGGUUUUGCAGAGCAAAGUCAGAGGAGAAAAGAGUGCCAAGUCCGUUGAGCACCAGCAAAUCUCUUGCUGCAUGCGAGACCAGGGCAGGGACAGAGAGAAGAGUAACAUAAGCAUUUCUGAUGAGGGUAAGGAUAACCAACAUGUUAAGAAACACUCAGAGGCUGGCAUGGCAAAUAUAAAAGCGGAAGGCUGGCAGAAUCCAACCAGUGCCCUUAAGAUGGUUGAUGAGACAAGGAAGUUAAGAGGACUAGUUGCUCGCCAACAGACUAGUCCGAAAGAGCUGCAGGUCCAAAUUAACUCAACGGAUAGCCAGAUUCAUGAGCUGGAGGAGAAACAAAACGUCAGGCAAACUGACCAAGAGAACCAGCAGAAGGUAGAGAAGGCAGAGCAGCUGGAAUUUUGGGAUAAUGAACUAAAGGUGGAAGAGGGAUAUGAGACUUGGAACAGUUCCUGGAGAUGAAAGAAAAAGCUGUUGAGUGUAAGGCCAAGUUGGAAGAGUACAAAAUGAAACUGCAAGGACUUGAUUCCUCAAGAGACAUUACUAUUCAAAGGGAGAAAGUUAAUGUUCCAAGCCAAGAUGCCACAUCUCCUGCUGCUGCAGGGUGGACAAGGCCAAAUGAGGCCUUGAAAUCAGUCAAGAGCUCUUAGUCAGCAUGGUAAAUAGACAGGAAGUUUGCUCCCAGAGAGAACUCAGAUCUUCCUUAUGCGCUAGUUUCUCCAAACCAGAUCAAGGACUUGCGGCUCUCGUGGCCAAGUCCGCUUAGAGACUGGUGGACAUACUGGUCUGAAGCCCCAGGUCCAAAUUCAGAAACACAACCAAGGGUUGUGCAUCGCUCCGAGAUAACAAUACAUCUGGGCAGCACCAGGGUUUGAACGAGGUAGAGCAAGAACUGAAACUCACUGGUUUAAAAACAAGCAAACCAGUAACUUAAUGUGCGUGAUAAUUCAAACUGCAGGGAUUUGUUCCCAGUUUUACAUUUCUAUAUGGCAACAAUAAAAUGUCUUUCUUUAAGCAAACUUCUAUUGUCCUACCAAAAGUUGCUGAAUAGCUUUUCCCAUCUUCAGUUUGCUCCACUGUUCAGGCACAUUUGUUUGAAAGUAGGAACAGCAUUUCUUUUUCACUGCACCGUUUCAAGACAAGUCUCUUGCUGCCAUCUUGAAUAAAAUAUUUUCUACAAACU